GGAGGAUUAGCUCAGCUGGGAGACCACCUGCCUUACAAGCAGGGGGUCGGCGGUUCGAUCCCGUCAUCCUCCACCA
rnacentral:tRNA from 2 species